rnacentral:misc_RNA from 1 species
UAUCCAGCAUCAAGUAGCUCCUUCAGUUGUCUCCUCAAUUCUUCAAGCUCUGGUGGAGACAUGCGGUAGGGGGCAAAGGCUGGUGGUUUUGCCCCGAUUUCCAGCUCGAUCGCGUGAUCAACCUCCCUUCGUGGAGGCAAUUUCUUCGGAAGCUCGGAUGGCAUGAUGUCCUUGAAUUCCUUGAGCACCUUCUUGAUCGGAGUGGGGAUGGAUGCUCCCCCACCUUGCUGUCCUUCAUCCUCCUUGAAGGCAGCUAGGAAUGUUGGCUCAUUCCUCUUCAGCCCCUUAGACAAUUGCAUG